CAUUAAAUGUUAAUGAGAAGAGUAGCUAAGUCAGAUCAGUAGAGAGCAUUCGGUUGGUGCAAGAAUGUGAUUUGGACUAAGUGAAGAUGAGCUCAGAAUAUCGGGAUGGGUUCACGCUACAUCCCCGCUUGGCAACCGUUAUCUUGCGCCUCUUUUCCCUCAUGGGAGAAGACUGAGGCGGUCCGUAAAAGACCGUAAACAAAGGUGGUACCACGGUUGCAUCGUCAUCGUCCUUAUG
rnacentral:ncRNA from 1 species